CAGUAGCCACGGUAAUACGAAGGGCGCAAGCGUUAAUCGGAAUUACUGGGCGUAAAGCGUGCGUAGGCGGUGAGUUAAGUCUGCUGUGAAAUCCCCGGGCUCAACCUGGGAAUGGCAGUGGAUACUGGCUCGCUAGAGUGUGUCAGAGGAUGGUGGAAUUCCCGGUGUAGCGGUGAAAUGCGUGGAGAUCGGGAGGAACAUCAGUGGCGAAGGCAGCCCCCUGGGCCAAUACUGACGCUCAUGCACGAAAGCGUGGGGAGCAAACAGGAUUAGAUACCCGGGUAGUCCCUGUCUCUUAUAC
rnacentral:rRNA from 1 species